UACGGGGCAGCAGUGGGGAAUAUUGCACAAUGGGCGAAAGCCUGAUGCAGCUAUGCCGCGUGUAUGAAGAAGGCCUUAGGGUUGUAAAGUACUUUCAUCGGGGAGGAAAAAACAAAACUAAUAAUUUUAUUUCUUGACGUUACCCGAAAAAGAAGCACCGGCUAACUCCGUGCCAGCAGCCGCGGUAAUACGGAGGGUGCUAGCGUUAAUCAGAAUUACUGGGCGUAAAGAGCACGUAGGUGGUUUUUUUAAGUCAGAUGUGAAAUCCCUGGGCUUAACCUAGGAACUGCAUUUUGAAACUGAAAUACUAGAGUAUCGUAGAGGGAGGUAGAAUUCUAGGUGUAGCGGUGAAAUGCGUAGAUAUCUGGAGGAAUACCUGUGGCGAAAGCGGCCUCCUAAACGAAUACUGACACUGAGGGUGCGAAAGCGUGGGGAGCAAACAGGGAUUAGAUACC
rnacentral:rRNA from 1 species